rnacentral:ncRNA from 1 species
UGGUCCUAGCCUUGAAAUCAAUUCUUACCUGAUUUACACAUGCAAGUCUCCGCACCCCUGUGAGAACGCCCUUUAAUCCACUAUAGGGAUAAGGAGCUGGUAUCAGGCUCAAUACAAAGCCCAUAACACCUAGCUACGCCACACCCACAAGGGUAUUCAGCAGUGAUUAACAUUGACUAUAAGCGCAAGCUUGACUCAAUUAAGGUAAAGAGGGCCGGCAAAUCCGGUGCCAGCCGCCGCGGCUACACCACGAGGCUCAAAUUGAUAUCUUUCGGCGUAAAGCGUGAUUAAAGAUCUUACUAAACUGUAGCCUAACCAAAACUAAGCAGUGAUAUGCUUGUUCAACAGAAGCUCAAUAACGAAAGUAACUACAAUACACCCACUUGAACUCACGUCAGCUAGGAAACAAACUGGGAUUAGAUACCCCACUAUGCCUAGCCGUUAACCUUAACUUACACCCAAAUCGCCAGGGAACUACGAGCGAAAGCUUAAAACCCAAAGGACUUGACGGUACCCCACAUCCACCUAGAGGAGCCUGUCCUAUAAUCGAUAACCCCCGCUUAACCUCACCAUUUUUUGUUUAUCAGCCUGUAUACCUCCGUCGUCAGCUUACCACGUGAGCGCCCCUAAGUGAGCUAAAUGUCUCUUCGUCAAAACGUCAGGUCAAGGUGCAGCUUACGAAAUGGGAAGCAGAUGGGCUACACUCUCUAACGUAGAGUAAACGAAUGGCUACAUAUGAAACCCUAGCCUGAAGGCGGAUUUAGAAGUAAAAAGAGACAAGAGAGCUCUUUUUAACACGGCACUGGGGUGUGUACACACCGCCCGUCACCCUCUUCAAAGCCUAACCCUGAUAGUAUAUAACACCGAUAAAGCAACAACAGAAGAGGCAAGUCGUAACAUGGUAAGUAUACCGGAAGGUGUGCUUGGAAA